UUUAUGGAGAGUUUGAUCCUGGCUCAGGAUGAACGCUGGCGGCGUGCCUAAUACAUGCAAGUCGAGCGAACGGACGAGAAGCUUGCUUCUCUGAUGUUAGCG
rnacentral:rRNA from 1 species